UGCAAGUCGAACGGAAGUCGUUGUAAUGAUAUGGACAUGGACAGAGAACUUGUUCAAAGAAAGUGAAAGUUGACUUACAACAAUGGCUUUAGUGGCGGACUGGUGAGUAACACGUAAGCAACCUGCCUAUCAGAGGGGAACAACAGUUAGAAAUGACUGCUAAUACCGCAUAUGCCUAAGUACCACAUGGUGCAAUAGGGAAAGGAGCAAUCCGCUGAUAGAUGGGCUUGCGUCUGAUUAGAUAGUUGGUGGGGUAACGGCCUACCAAGUCGACGAUCAGUAGCCGGACUGAGAGGUUGAACGGCCACAUUGGGACUGAGAUACGGCCCAGACUCCUACGGGAGGCAGCAGUCGGGAAUAUUGCGCAAUGGAGGAAACUCUGACGCAGCGACGCCGCGUGCAGGAAGAAGGUUUUCGGAUUGUAAACUGCUUUAGACAGGGAAGAAAAAAGACAGUACCUGUAGAAUAAGCUCCGGCUAACUACGUGCCAGCAGCCGCGGUAAUACGUAGGGAGCAAGCGUUAUCCGGAUUUAUUGGGUGUAAAGGGUGCGUAGACGGGAAAUUAAGUUAGUUGUGAAAUCCCCCGGCUUAACUGAGGAACUGCAACUAAAACUGGUUUUCUUGAGUGCUGGAGAGGAAAGUGGAAUUCCUAGUGUAGCGGUGAAAUGCGUAGAUAUUAGGAGGAACACCAGUGGCGAAGGCGACUUUCUGGACAGUAACUGACGUUGAGGCACGAAAGUGUGGGGAGCAAACAGGAUUAGAUACCCUGGUAGUCCACACCGUAAACGAUGGAUACUAGGUGUAGGAUGUGAUAAAUAUUCUGUGCCGUCGCAA
rnacentral:rRNA from 1 species